AGGAUGAACGCUGGCGGUAUGCUUAACACAUGCAAGUCGAACGGAACCUUCGGGUUUAGUGGCGGACGGGUGAGUAACGCGUGAGAAUCUGCCUCUAGGUCGGGGACAACAAUUGGAAACGAUUGCUAAUACCCGAUGUGCAGCAAUGUGAAAGAUUUAUUGCCUAGAGAUGAGCUCGCGUCUGAUUAGCUAGUAGGUGUGGUAAUGGCGCACCUAGGCGACGAUCAGUAACUGGUCUGAGAGGAUGACCAGUCACACUGGGACUGAGACACGGCCCAGACUCCUACGGGAGGCAGCAGUGGGGAAUUUCCGCAAGUGGGCGAAAGCCUGACGGAGCAAUACCGCGUGAGGGACGAAGGCUUUUGGUCGUAAACCUCUUUUCCCUGAGAAGAAGAUCUGACGGUAUCGAGGGAAUCGAGCAUCGGCUAACUUCGUGCCAGCAGCCGAC
rnacentral:rRNA from 1 species